rnacentral:rRNA from 1 species
UACGGGGGGAGCAAGCGUUGUUCGGAUUUACUGAGCGUAAAGGGCGCGUAGGCGGCCAGCACAAGUCAGUUGUGAAAUCUCCGAGCUUAACUCGGAAAGGUCAACUGAUACUGUGCGGCUAGAGUGCGGAAGGGGCAACUGGAAUUCUUGGUGUAGCGGUGAAAUGCGUAGAUAUUCGGAAGAACACCAGUGGCGAAGGCGGCUCACUGGCCCGGUACUGACGCUGAGGUGCGAAAGCGUGGGGAGCAAACAGG